UUAGGGGGCGCUGUAAGAAACUCUGAAAGAAAUACGACCCAGCUCACAGUAGAAGAAGACUUCCCCCACGACUUUGGCGUUUAGCAGUUUCAGCUGUCCUGACCUUCUCACUGCAGCGAGACACACUGAAAGAUGGCUGGACGUGCAUUUGCAAAUUGGUGGGCCUUGAUGGGACCCUACUACACAAAGGCCUACCAGGAGAUGUGGGCGGGUGUUGGCAUCAUGACAUACCUGUACUACAAAGUUUCCUAUGGAGGCAAGAAGGCCGUAAAGGACAAGCCUGCCCAUUAAAUUUUCCACCAUCCUGACCAUCUCCCCACCUGUUGUGUAAUAAUGCCCAGACUUACGCCAGAAGUCCAGCUUCACGUUUAAAUUUUUGUUUAUAUGGAACAAAUAAAGUUAAUAUCCAAGACUUUUA